AGAGCAGGACAGACAACAACUCCCACUGUCAGAUGCAUUCAAUAUCUAAAGCAUACAUAACACAGAUACUGUGUGUAAGAUGCUCUCACUGCUUUACUGUGGAAUGUUUCCUUUGGUUCUCAUCAUACUAAAAGGUGUCAGCUGUGAACAACUGACUCCAGUCAAGGAUGAAGAGUUCAGUUCAGAAGGCAGCUCUGUUACUCUGUCCUACACAUACUCCAAAAAAGCUGAUGCCACUGAUUAUUUCUUCUGGUAUCAACAACAUCCAGGAAAACAACCACAGUUCCUCAUCUCUCACACAGGGAAAGGACAAGAAAUAUCAUCAGAUCCAGUCUCUGAACUGACUGUUACUGUGAGUCGGGAUCAAACCCAAAUGGAUCUGCAGAUCUCCUCUGCUGCAGUGACAGACUCUGCUGUGUACUACUGUGCUGUGAAGCCCACAGUGACAGGAAACAGCACAACUCUGUACAAAAACCUUUGGAGCAAAGACAACAGAAUACUCCACAACAUCCACUAGAGGGAGUCACACACUGUUCAACUUCAAUGGUUUCUUGUGAUCCAGUCUGGAUGCUUUUUACUCAUGAGACACAGCUGUGAUGAAGAGCUUUAGAAAUGAAGAUAAUCUGACACCAGUCUCCUCCUACUGACCUGUAGAGGAGGCUGUCUGGCAGAGAACUGUUUCAUUCCAGCUGUGAACCAAACACAACUCACAGAACCACUCACAACUUUGUCUCGCUGAACAGUUACAACACUUCACCUCAGUGAACAU